AAGUUUGAUUAUGGCUCAGGAUGAACGCUGGCGGCGUGCUUAACACAUGCAAGUCGAACGACACAUCUUUCGGGAUGUGUUAGUGGCAGACGGGUGCGUAACACGUAGGUGACCUGCCCAAAGUGGGGAAUAAUCCCGCUAACGCGGGACUAAUACCGCAUGUGCUCGGCCAUUCGGUGGUCGAGUAAAGCCGAAAGGCGCUUUGGGAUGGGCCUGCGGCGGAUUAGCUAGUUGGUAGGUAAUGGCCUACCAAGGCUAUGAUCCGUAGGGGGCGUGAGAGCGUGGCCCCCCACACUGCACUGAGACACGGGCCAGACUCCUACGGGAGGCAGCAGUGAGGAAUAUUGCACAAUGGCGAAAGCCUGAUGCAGCAACGCCGCGUGAGGGACGAAGGCCUUCGGGUUGUAAACCUCUUUCUGGGGAAAGAGACAGGACGGUACCUCAGGAAUAAGUCUCGGCUAACUACGUGCCAGAGCCGCGGUAAAACGUAGGAGGCGAGCGUUAUCCGGAUUUACUGGGCGUAAAGCGCACGAGGCGGCUCUGUUAGUCGGACGUGAAAGCUCCUGGCUUAACUGGGAGAGGCCGUUCGAUCUGCAGGGCUUGAGGUUGGGAGAGGGGUGUGGAAUUCCCGGUGUAGCGGUGGAAUGCGUGAUAUCGGGAGGAACACCUGUGGCGAAGGCGGCACCCUGGCCCCACACCUGACGCUGAGUGCGAAAGCGUGGGGAGCAAACAGGAUUAGAUACCCUGGUAGUCCACGCUGUAAACGAUUCAACUAGGUGUCGGUGGUUUUAUACUAUCGGUGCCGAAGCUAACGCGUUAAGUUGACC
rnacentral:rRNA from 1 species